rnacentral:rRNA from 1 species
GGCUCGCAGGCGGUUUCUUAAGUCUGAUGUGAAAGCCCCCGGCUCAACCGGGGAGGGUCAUUGGAAACUGGGGAACUUGAGUGCAGAAGAGGAGAGUGGAAUUCCACGUGUAGCGGUGAAAUGCGUAGAGAUGUGGAGGAACACCAGUGGCGAAGGCGACUCUCUGGUCUGUAACUGACGCUGAGGAGCGAAAGCGUGGGGAGCGAACAGGAUUAGAUACCCUGGUAGUCCACGCCGUAAACGAUGAGUGCUAAGUGUUAGGGGGUUUCCGCCCCUUAGUGCUGCAGCUAACGCAUUAAGCACUCCGCCUGGGGAGUACGGUCGCAAGACUGAAACUCAAAGGAAUUGACGGGGGCCCGCACAAGCGGUGGAGCAUGUGGUUUAAUUCGAAGCAACGCGAAGAACCUUACCAGGUCUUGACAUCCUCUGACAAUCCUAGAGAUAGGACGUCCCCUUCGGGGGCAGAGUGACAGGUGGUGCAUGGUUGUCGUCAGCUCGUGUCGUGAGAUGUUGGGUUAAGUCCCGCAACGAGCGCAACCCUUGAUCUUAGUUGCCAGCAUUCAGUUGGGCACUCUAAGGUGACUGCCGGUGACAAACCGGAGGAAGGUGGGGAUGACGUCAAAUCAUCAUGCCCCUUAUGACCUGGGCUACACACGUGCUACAAUGGACAGAACAAAGGGCAGCGAAACCGCGAGGUUAAGCCAAUCCCACAAAUCUGUUCUC